rnacentral:rRNA from 1 species
CGGUUGAUCCUGCCGGAGGUCACUGCUAUUGGGAUUCGACUAAGCCAUGCGAGUCGAGAGGGUUCGCCCUCGGCAGACGGCUCAGUAACACGCGGAUAAUCUGCCCUUAGGUGGAGGAUAAUCUCGGGAAACUGAGAAUAAUACUCCAUAGAUCUAAGAUGCUGGAAUGCACUUAGAUUGAAAGCUCCGGCGCCUAAGGAUGAGUCCGCGGACUAUCAGGUAGUAGUCAGGGUAAUGACCUGACUAGCCUACGACGGAUAUGGGUUGUGAGAGCAAUAACCCAGAGACGAUAUCUGAGACACGAUAUCGGGCCCUACGGGGCGCAGCAGGCGCGAAAACUUCACACUGUGCGAAAGCACGAUGAGGGAAUCCCAAGUGCUGGCUCGUAAGAGUCAGCUGUUUUUCUGUCUAAAAAACAGAGAGAGUAAGAGCUGGGUAAGACGGGUGCCAGCCGCCGCGGUAAUACCUGCAGCUCAAGUGGUGGUCGCUAUUAUUGGGCCUAAAACGUCCGUAGCCGGUUUAGUAAAUGCCUGGGUAAAUCGUGUAGCUUAACUAUACGAAUUCCGGGUAGACUGCUAAACUUGGGACCGGGAGAGGCUAGAGGUACUCCUGGGGUAGAGGUGAAAUUCUGUAAUCCUAGGGGGACCACCAGUGGCGAAGGCGUCUAGCUAGAACGGGUCUGACGGUGAGGGACGAAGCCCUGGGGCGCAAACCGGAUUAGAUACCCGGGUAGUCCAGGGUGUAAACGCUGUUCGCUUGAUGUUAGUUGGGCUCCGAGCCCAACUAGUGUCGGAGAGAAGUUGUUAAGCGAACUGCCUGGGAAGUACGGUCGCAAGACUGAAACUUAAAGGAAUUGGCGGGGGAGCAC